AUGAUUGAGAGCAGCUUGGUGAUUCUCUUCUUGGCAAAUCAGGGUGUGAUGACGCCCAUUCUUGAAGGCAUAAGAGAGUUUGUAUCACUGUGGUACACGUUCGGUGGAGGAACCAGACUGGAGUUUGGAAGUGAUGCCCGUCCCACCCUGACGGUGCUGCCCCCCUCCAGCGAGGAGCUGCAGCAGGGGAAGGCCACGCUCAUGUGCCUGGCCAACAAGGGCUUCCCCUCAGACUGGAGUCUGGCCUGGAAGGUGGACGGCAGCAGCAGCAGCAGCAGCAGCAGCAGCAGCUGGGAGGAGAGCAGGAGCCCCGGGGUGCUGCAGAAGGACGGCCACUACAGCUGGAGCAGCACCCUGAGGCUCUCUGCAGACCAGUGGAGGAAGGUGGGCUCUGUGACCUGUGAGGCCACCCAGGGCUCCCAGACUCCGCUCUCAGAGACACUGAGGAGAGACCAGUGUUCCCAGUCCUGACCUGACUCACUGGGACUCUGCUACUGGUUUUCCUCUGCUCCUGCUCUCACUCUGCACUCUGGAACUGUCUCUCUCUUUUAUUUCACAUCUUUCAACAGCAAGAUUUACUAGCUUGUUGCACUGUUUCAAUAUUAUUUCAGUGUUUCCAGAUAAUAAAGACCUCUUCAUCCAAUCAGCUGUUUUCAGGUUUAUUAUUAUCAAAGUGUCUUAAUAAAUGUUCUCUUCAUGGUGUCAGUGACUGUUUCACAUCCAGAGAACAACAGUUUAACAUCAUAAUAUAUUUCUAAAGUUACAGUAUAUUGAGAGAUUUUAAAGUCAGACAUAACUCCUCAUUAUAUUUUGAUUAGUACAAACCAGUGAUGGUCGUAGAAUUCCAUAUUUUUUCACAAUCAAUUUGAAUUCAUUCAUGAUUGUAAAACAGUUCCUGCUGUCGUUACAGAUUUUUCUGUAAUAAUAAACCUUUUUGGAACAAAA